CUCGGUCAAACUAGUUGGGGUGGGAUGCAUAGCUAAUUAAACUAGUUGGGGUGGGAUGCAUAAAUCUCAUAAAAAAAUAAUCUUUCAGCUUCCAUAUUGUCAAUAGCAGGGUACAUAGCUAUUAAAGUAUUACCCACAAAAAUAACAAUCAAGAACCCAAAUUUCAAGAUUUUCCCAUGUGCCAACUCCCCAAGAUAACAACUUUUCAUUCCGACACAAGCUUUUAAGACACUAGUCAUGCAUACCCGUGCUAAAGCACGGGCCCAACAACACCAAAUUUGGUAUCUCUAUUAUAUUAGAAAUUCUAGCAUUUUUCUUGUACAUAUAUACAUAUACAUAAUAUGAAGGUAGAUUGAAGAAUACUAAGAUUAAAAGUUAGUACUUAUAUAUAUGACUAUACAAAGUUCCCGACUGUUUCAAUUCAAAUAGUUGACCUGAGCUGCUUUUAGUGCGAACAAUUUUCUUUUCGUCCUUAGUUACGUAUAAUAUUAGCAUAAAUGAAGCCAGUUCAAGUCACCCAGAUCAACCCAAAAAACAUUUGAAUAUCCUUUUUUUAUUAAAAGUGAUUGUUGGAGUAGUAACGUAGUUCAAGCUUCUCUUUGAAGUUUCUUUUUACCAUGUUGCUCUCGACUGCUUCAUGUAAUUACACACUGCAACCAAGAAGAGGAAAAAGAGCAAAGAGAUUUAUCAUGUAUUUAUUUUUUUAGAAUAUGUAUUUGAAAAGCUUUGAAGGGUGCGUGUAAGGUUGGUCCUACUUGAGAGCUAUACAUAGAAAACUAAGAGGAGCCUCCGAGAUCUUCAGAUUCAUGCUUGCAUAUACUUGUUCCCUAUAUAUUUCCAUAUAUUGAUUUGCUCCCAAAAAGUUUUGCAAUCCAACAACCCUACUAGCAAAUUAUUGAUCCAAAAUGCAAUAAAAACUAUAAAGAUCCUAAGCCUUCAUUCCAAUAAGAAUAUGUGGAAGCUCUCUAAAAGAAGUGCUGAUACAAAAGCACUUUAAAACAAAUUAAAAGAAUUAGAAAAGGACGAACCAGCUGAAAUUGCCUUUUCAAUUAGUAGAUGGCCCAUUGUAAUAUAGCAGUCUCAACUAACAGAGAAAUCAAUUCGUACUCCACCAUUUAGUGCAAUCCAUCACCGAGAAAUACAAAUUGAAGAGUUUAGACAUUUUUUCCAUCUAUCGGCAUUGAUACACCUUAUUUUUCAAAUUUCCUUUGUGUGCCUAGCUAACUGAUGUUAAGAUCCAAUUGAAAAGAAAAAAAAAACUAAAGAGAAAAAGAAAGAACAAUAGCAGUGAGAACCGAUGGAUAAGUC
rnacentral:lncRNA from 1 species